GGAAUCUUGCGCAAUGGGCGAAAGCCUGACGCAGCAACGCCGCGUGCGGGAUGAAGGCCUUCGGGCUGUAAACCGCUUUCAGCAGGAACGAAAAUGACGGUACCUGCAGAAGAAGGAGCGGCCAACUACGUGCCAGCAGCCGCGGUGACACGUAGGCUCCAAGCGUUGUCCGGAUUUAUUGGGCGUAAAGAGCUCGUAGGCGGUUUAGUAAGUCGGGUGUUAAAACUCUGGGCUCAACCCGGAGAGGCCAUCCGAUACUGCUGUGACUUGAGUUCAGGAGGGGAGCGGGGAAUUCCUAGUGUAGCGGUGAAAUGCGCAGAUAUUAGGAGGAACACCGGUGGCGAAGGCGCCGCUCUGGACUGAAACUGACGCUGAGGAGCGAAAGCAUGGGUAGCAAACAGGAUUAGAUACCCUGGUAGUCCAUGCCGUAAACGGUGGGCACUAGGUGUGGGUUCCAACUAACGGGAUCCGCGCCGUCGCUAACGCAUUAAGCGCCCCGCCUGGGGAGUACGGUCGCAAGACUAAAACUCAAAGGAAUUGACGG
rnacentral:rRNA from 1 species